GAUUGGACUUGCCCUGGUAAGGUUCUUUGUCAGGAUUGAGGUCCAUCAGACUUUCCCACUAUGAUAAAGCCAUUUGAAUUUAGAUCUGCAUGAAUUUUGUCCUGCUGUGGGCUUCUGAGAUCUGUGAUAUGUGAAUCUGUGCUCCACCAAACCUGUCCAUGAACUGGCGGACCGAGGUUGUUAAGAAGCAGAGAGAUGGUAGGGGUUAGCGUCUCAUGGGUCAUAGCCUCUGUCUAAUGACGUGCAUCACACUUGUAGGUAGGCUCUAACCAAGCAUUACUCUCUUCUCUAGGGUUUGGGAUCCAUAUCUUCUUCCAAUUAGUAUGCUUUUGUCCAUCAGAUUGACCACACAUCUUCUGCCAUCUGGUGGUCAGUCCAUGAGCUUACAAGAGGACGCUACACUGUUUGGAGACAGAGAGAGGCUGAGACGUCUGCCUUCUUUCACAUUUUGCUGCUACUUUCCUGAGGACGGAGUAAUGUCAUAUGAAGGAAAUUGAGAAGACUCCAAAAGAAUGUAAGCACUGUGCAGAAGUGAAGUGCUUCGAGCUUUGCAUUAGGUAAGCAGAAUUUCAGCGAGUCGAGAUCAGCAGAUUUGUGCGAUGUUCUGGUAAGCCACUUCCCUCCUGCAGCCCACUCAUUAAUUUUCGGAAGUCUGACAGAAUGGCUAAAAGGAUGAUCAAUUUCAAGUGUCACUCUUGGCUUGUUUUUAGCUUUCUGUAAAAGGAGUUCCUGACAAGUAGCCCUGUUAGUGCCCUCAAAAUGUCUCCUGUUAUUAAAUAUUGGGAAUGAGCUGAAAUAAUGAAACUAAGAUUUUUAUGUCACUAGAACUGUUGACUUAGAAGAUGAUGAGAUUAGGGUAUAUUAAUGACGUGUAGGUGGGCUUGAGCACUCAAACCCAGCAGGACUUUUAUUAAUAGAUUUUCCUGAAACGUGGGGGACGUCCUUGCUCUUGUUCCAAGUGAUUGUAUGACAUUGUUACCUCCUGGAAAUAGCUCCCAUUCUCCCUUCCUCUUUCUCAUCAUCUGUUGUAAUUCUAACGUGACAACUAAUAUGUGUGUGUGUACAGGUAUAACCUGGUGGUCUAUAUAAUGUUAC
rnacentral:lncRNA from 1 species